rnacentral:rRNA from 1 species
AGAGUUUGAUCAUGGCUCAGGACGAACGCUGGCGGCGUGCUUAAUACAUGCAAGUCGAGCGAGGUUACUGUUUCGGAUCCCUUCGGGGUGAAGAAGCUUUAACCUAGCGGCGGACGGGUGAGUAACGCGUGGGUAACCUACCCCAAAGUCCGGGAUAACAGCGGGAAACCGCUGCUAAUACCGGAUGCCUUUACCUUGGGGCAUCUUGAGGUAAAGAAAGGCAACGCUUUGGGAUGGGCCCGCGUCCCAUUAGCUAGUUGGUGAGGUAACGGCUCACCAAGGCGACGAUGGGUAGCCGGCCUGAGAGGGUGGACGGCCACACUGGGACUGAGACACGGCCCAGACUCCUACGGGAGGCAGCAGUAGGGAAUAUUGCGCAAUGGACGGAAGUCUGACGCAGCGACGCCGCGUGAGCGAUGAAGGUCUUCGGAUCGUAAAGCUCUGUCCUUGGGGAAGAAGGCGAAAGCUUGACGGUACCCAAGAAGAAAGCCCCGGCUAACUACGUGCCAGCAGCCGCGGUAAUACGUAGGGGGCGAGCGUUGUCCGGAAUUACUGGGCGUAAAGGGUGCGUAGGCGGCCCUUUAAGUCGGAUGUGAAAGCCCGCGGCUUAACCGCGGAAUGGCAUUCGAAACUGGAGGGCUUGAGUGUCGGAGAGGGUAGUGGAAUUCCCAGUGUAGCGGUGAAAUGCGUAGAUAUUGGGAGGAACACCAGUGGCGAANGCGACUACCUGGACGAUAACUGACGCUGAGGCACGAAAGCUAGGGGAGCAAACAGGAUUAGAUACCCUGGUAGUCCUAGCCGUAAACGAUGGGUACUAGGUGUGGGUGGNUUCGAUACCAUCCGUGCCGUANUUAACGCAUUAANNUACCCCGCCNGGGGAGUACGUGCGCAAGCAUGAAACUCAAAGGAAUUGACGG